rnacentral:misc_RNA from 1 species
GAUGAAGAACGCAGCGAAAUGCGAUAAGUAAUGUGAAUUGCAGAAUUCAGUGAAUCAUCGAAUCUUUGAACGCACCUUGCACUCCUUGGUAUUCCGAGGAGUACGCCUGUUCGAGUGUUAUGAAGCUCUCAAAACGCAAUUGGCUUAAAACCUGAUUGUUGUUUUGGAUUUGAACUUUGCCGUGUUAUAACGGCUGGUUUUAAAAGUAUUAGCUGGUACUAGAACGAAUUGGUUCUACUCAACGUGAUAAUUAUCUGAUCGUUGAGGACAUUCCUUUCACGAGGAAUGGCCAUAGUAAAUUCAAUGGACUGCUUCUAAUCUGGCUUUAAUUCUUUAUUGGAUUAACCACUUUUCAAAUCUGACCUCGAAUCAGGUGGGACUACCCGCUGAACUUAAGCAUAUCAAUAAGCGGGGA